rnacentral:tRNA from 1 species
AAAUUUUUAAGUUAAAAUAAACUUUAAAUCUUCAAAAUUUAAUAUAAAAAUUAAAUUUG